GAUCUAAUAGAAAACAAAUCUAACAGUGUGUGAUAUAAUAAUCAAUGAAAAGGAGAACCAUGACUGGUUAAAUAUAAUAACUUUUGAAGGAGAUUGAGAAUUCUUCUAGCCAAAGAGAAUGAAAGAAUAUGAUAUUCUUAUUGAAAAACGACCUCUAAAUCAAUGGAUGGUUUCCCCGUGGUGGCAUAUUGUUUUGUGGAUGACUGAAGGGAUCCCCGAAUGGGUUGGAAGAUCCCAUAUACCAGGUUUGUUGAGAAUAUUGGCCUUGAUAUUGAUGAUGUACCAUCGACAUAUUUUGUUGUGGUCGUUGCUGUUGCUGCAUCAUGUAUUGUUGUUGCAUCAUUUGAUAUUGUUGUUGUUGUUGCAUCAUUUGGUAUUGUUGUUGUUGCUGCGCCA
rnacentral:misc_RNA from 1 species